UCGAGAAUCUUCCGCAAUGGGCGCAAGCCUGACGGAGCGACGCCGCGUGCGGGAUGAAGGCCUUCGGGUUGUAAACCGCUGUCAGUAGGGAGCAAAUCGUUAGGGGUUAUCCUCUAUCGUUGAGCAAUCUGCAGAGGAAGCGCAGGCUAAGUUCGUGCCAGCAGCCGCGGUAACACGAACUGCGCGAACGUUAUUCGGAAUCACUGGGCUUAAAGAGUCCGUAGGCGGCUCGGUAGGUGGGGUGUGAAAGCCCACGGCUCAACCGUGGAAUUGAGCUCCAAACCAUCGGGCUUGAGGGAGAUAGAGGAGAGCGGAACUGAUGGUGGAGCGGUGAAAUGCGUUGAUAUCAUCAGGAACACCGGUGGCGAAAGCGGCUCUCUGGGUCUCUUCUGGCGCUGAGGGACGAAAGCUAGGGGAGCGAACGGGAUUAGAUACCCGUGUAGUCC
rnacentral:rRNA from 1 species